ACAAAGAUAAAGAAAGCAGUCUAAGUAUAACCAAUUAUACCGUGAAACUGCGAAUGGCUCACUAAAUCAGUUAUCGUUUAUUUGAUAGUACCUUACUACUUGGAUAACCGUGGUAAUUCUACAGCUAAUACAUGCUGAAAACCCGAACUUCGGGAGGGGUGUAUUUAUUAGAUUAAAAACCAACGCCCUUCGGGGCUUCUUGGUGAUUCAUGAUAACUUCACGGAUGGCAUGGCCUUGCGCCGGCGACGGUUCAUUCAAAUUUCUGCCCUAUCAACUUUCGAUGGUAAGGUAUUGGCUUACCAUGGUUUCAACGGGUAACGGGGAAUUAGGGUUCGAUUCCGGAGAGGGAGCCUGAGAAACGGCUACCACAUCCAAGGAAGGCAGCAGGCGCGCUAAAUUACCCAAUCCCGACACGGGGAGGUAGUGACAAUAAAUACUGAUACAGGGCUCUGUUUGGGUCUUGUAAUUGGAAUGAGUACAAUUUAAACCUCUUAACGAGGAACAAUUUGGAGGGCAAGUCUGGUGCCAGCAGCCGCGGUAAUUCCAGCUCCAAUAGCGUAUAUUAAAGUUGUUGCAGUUUAAAAGCUCGUAGUUGAACCUUGGGGCCUGGCUGGCAGGUCCGCCUCACCGCGUGUACUUGACCGGCCGGGCCUUUCCUUCUGGAGAACCUCAUGCCCUUCACUGGGUGUGCUGGGGAACCAGGACUUUUACUUUGAAAAAAUUAGAGUGUUCAAAGCAGGCCUUUGCUCGAAUACGUUAGCAUGGAAUAAUAGAAUAGGACGUGCGGUCCUAUUUAGUUGGUUUCUAGGACCGCCGUAAUGAUUAAUAGGGACAGUCGGGGCCAUCAGUAUUCAAUUGUCAGAGGUGAAAUUCUUGGAUUUAUUGAAGACUAACUACUGCGAAAGCAUUGCCAAGGAUGUUUUCAUUAAUCAGUGAACGAAAGUUAGGGGAUCGUAGACGAUCAGAUACCGUCGA
rnacentral:rRNA from 1 species